GAUGAACGCUGGCGGCGUGCCUAAUACAUGCAAGUCGAGCGAACAGACGAGGAGCUUGCUCCUCUGACGUUAGCGGCGCGCGGGAGAGUAACACGUGGAUAACCUACUUAUCAUACUGGGAUAUCUUCGGGAAACCGGAGCUAAUACCGGAUAAUAUAUUGAACCGCAUGGUUCAAUAGUGAAAGACGGUUUUGCUGUCACUUAUAGAUGGAUCCAGGCCGCAUUAGCUAGUUGGUAAGGUCACGGCUUACCAAGGCAACGAUGCGUAGCCGACCUCUGAGGUGGGUCGCCGACACGAGAGCGAGGACAGUGUCCUGCCUCCUACGGGACGCAGCAGAAGGCUAUCGUGCGCAAUGGGCGUAAAUCUUACGGAGUGAGGGCGAGCAAGUUGUGACAACGUUCGGUUCGUAAAGCUCGACUUUUAGGGAAGAACACAUGUGGAAUUUGCUGAGGACCGCUUGACGGUACCUGAUCAAGAAGCCCCGGCUAACUACGUG
rnacentral:rRNA from 1 species